rnacentral:rRNA from 1 species
CCCUUAGAUGUUCUGGGCCGCACGCGUGCUACACUGACGAAGACAGCGAGUUUUCCUGUGCCGGAAGGCAUGGGUAAUCUUUUAACCUUCGUCGUGAUGGGGAUAGAUCUUUGCAAUUUUGGAUCUUCAACGAGGAAUUUCUUGUAAGCGCGAUUCAUCAUAUCGCGUUGAAUACGUCCCUGCCCUUUGUACACACCGCCCGUCGCUACUACCGAUUGAAUGUUUUAGUGAGCCCUUCGGAUCGGCAUUCUCGAGGUGGCAACGCCUUUUGGACGCUGAAAAGUUGUGCAAACUUGAGCAUUUAGAGGAAGUAAAAGUCGUANCA